CAAAUCCAGAGUGAAUAUUUGAUCUGAUUAGUGAUUUCACUGGCUGUUAUUCACCAAACAUUGUGUAAUUUUGAUUUACAGGCCCAUUUGGAGUGGGAGGUAUUUUAUUAUGCACUUCCUUUUGUCUCUCCCUACUUCCUCUGCUCUGGCUCUUCCCCACCUUCCACUCUUGUGGGCUCAGUGGUUUCACAGGGGCCUUUGCUUGGCUCCUUCCCAGGUCGAUAGUCCAGAGCCAAUGGAACUAUGCUGCAGUGAUGGUGGAGAGGGCAGAUCUGGCCAGAGAUGAGCACUGGGCUGUGUGGCCCUGAGGUCGGUGAGACUGACCAGCCUCUCUUGGCUAACUGGCUGGGUCUGUCCACUUCAGUGCCUGACUAGGGAGCUUUCCCAGAACACCAAGCAAGCACUGCUGCCUGAGCUUCAGCCUAGCUCACCACUUUGGGCUUCACCAGCUUUUCUGGACCUUGGGAACCUUGCUCUUCUGUUUGCACCUGAGCUUUUUGUUUUUGGUACCGGGGAUUGAACUCGGGUCCUUGCGCUCAUCUGUUGUUUCUUGAUGUUGAGUGCUGGAAGUUGCACCAGACAUCAAGCGAGGUGUCUAAGAUGACUAGAGAUUCAUCUCCUUCAUCAUCACAGCAGAGUGCAAGAAAGACUGCAAAAUGCCCAACCACACUAGGCUGACAGAAAGAAGUUCCUCAACCUUUUUCUCCAGGGAUGGUGUCAAUUUCCCCCUCCAUCCUGCAGAAAGAAGUGGCCACAUAUUUACAAACUAUUUACAACGAUGAGAAAAAUUCUAAAACAAGACCCAGGCCUGGUCAUCUAAACUCUCUGAGGUUGGUCUUGCUGCCCACAGCCUUGGUGAUGCAGCCCAGCUGUGGCCUCUAGCCCUCCUGAAAUGAGAAGACAACUCCAAACUCCUUCUUUUCUCUUUGAGGUAAACUUCCCUUCACAAAGGACUUAGACCAGAACCUGCACAUCCAAGGAUCUUUUCCUGGAGAAGAAUUCCCUUAAUUUCAGAGUCUUG
rnacentral:lncRNA from 1 species